AUUGGGUCCUCUGAAACGUUCCUUGAUCCAUUUAAAACACUGAAGUUUCCCAACUUCACUGGAGCUAUAAACUGAAAUAAAAAAAGGUAAUUUUUUUGAGAAAAAGUUGGUUGAUUUGUUGGUUGUAGCUAAAAUUUACCGUUUUGAUGUGAUAUGACAUCGUCCAUCCGAUAAAGCGAGCAUUUUGCAAGAGUGGGUAUGAGUGCUCCGUUGGUGACCAAAACAUGGACGUUUUUCUCCAUCGGAUUCUCCGACGACAAUUCCUUGAGAAAAGUGGCCGCCGACGAGAGCCAUCCAUCC
rnacentral:lncRNA from 1 species